CUGUAAGGAGGAAUAUUUUCCUAAAAAGUUCCUAAAAGAUUUCGAAGAACCCUGUUUAACCUACCCUCAAUUCUAACGCAAAAAUGUCGCACCAAUUUUCUCCUCCAAAUACCUCUCGUAAUCUUGUGGUUUUCACAAGUCACAACCGAUUCAUCCUUUCUGAAUUCGAGCAAUUCGUAAUCAUGUGGUUAAUUGUCACACCAUUUCUAGCAGUUAUCAUCUCGAGCAAUUCAUCAUCUCAUAAGCGCUUAAUCAAUUCUGGUUUUCUACGCAAAGCAAACAGAUCAAAAACAAGCUCGUUGGGUUUGAAGAUUUGACAAUUACUAGAUUAGAAGGUGGAAGAAUUUCUUGCGAAUUUGAUAGUUAGAACGAAUGAGAAAUGAGAAUGCACUUCUAGGAGAUGAAAUCUCAUGUGAACAAGAUCAUCAAGGAUUACGAACUGAGAAAAUUCAUUUAACCAAGUUUACGCCAAAGGUAACCAAGGAACUUGGUGACAUGUCUUCUAUGUAUACUGAUUCUUCAAGAAGUUGAAACUCGGUAGAGAGAGUCCUUGCUUUGGAGAUGGAACUUGCUGAAGCCUUGCAGGCCAAGAAGAAAUCAACCAUCCCAUUUCAGAGUUCUUUCUUGAAGCUACACAAUGAUGAAGCUGCAGUAUUUCAUAGCUUCAGAGACAUAAAUGAACUGAUAAAAGACUUGUUGGAGAUGAAGGAAAAAUAAUACAGUGUUAUGGAGUCAGAUUAGAGUUGAUAAUGAGGACGAAGUUGCUGGUGCUGUUGGUGCUGCUUGCAUGUGUUGUAGCUUUUGUUCUGCUUUUUUGUCCUAGCUGCUUGUGUUGUAGCUUCUAUGUUUCUUUUUUUUUUUUUGGUUGUGUAAUUUGUCAGUUUGGGAUGCAAGUUGUGCUCCCUUAACUGAGGUCGAUCUUUGUUUUUCUGGUUUGGAUAUUACGUGUAUUACUUCCUUUUGGUAAUAUAUUUUCUCUAUUUUACCAAAACAAUAAAAAUAGAACACAUUUUAGGUGUC